rnacentral:rRNA from 1 species
AGUGAAGCGGGAAGAGCUCAAAUUUGAAAUCUGGUGGCCUCAGGUCAUCCGAGUUGUAAUCUAUAGAAGUGUUUUCCGUGCUGGCUCAUGUACAAGUCCCUUGGAACAGGGCGUCAUAGAGGGUGAGAAUCCCGUCCUUGACAUGAACUACCAGUGCUCUGUGAUACAUUUUCAACGAGUCGAGUUGUUUGGGAAUGCAGCUCAAAAUGGGUGGUAAAUUCCAUCUAAAGCUAAAUAUUGGCGAGAGACCGAUAGCGAACAAGUACCGUGAGGGAAAGAUGAAAAGCACUUUGGAAAGAGAGUUAAACAGUAUGUGAAAUUGUUGAAAGGGAAACGAUUGAAGUCAGUCGUGCUCUUUGGAUUCAGCCGGUUCUGCCGGUGUACUUCCUUUGAGUGGGGUCAACAUCAGUUUUGAUCGCUGGAUAAAGGCUGGAGGAACGUAGUACCCUCGGGUAAACUUAUAGCCUCCUGUCACAUACAGUGGUUGGGACUGAGGAACGCAGCACGCCUUUAUGGCCGGGAUUCGUCCACGUACGUGCUUAGGAUGUUGACAUAAUGGCUUUAAACGACCCGUCUUGAANCACGGA